AGCAAAUUAGGAAGAUUCCAGUCGCAAUUCCACAAAUGUACCACAUGUGUGAAGACAGUGAUCUCCGAGCUGCACCAAGUGGACUUCUACGCUAGCACCACUGACCUGUGGUCCAGUCGUACGACUGAGCCCUACAUGAGCUUUACCAUUCACUUUCUUUCACUUGCUACCGUUCAUGACGGUUUUCUAUAUCAAAUGCUGUUAUAAAAAUUAAUUAUAAUAUUGCAAUGUUAUUUCACCCUGUAUGUCCUUGUUUUGUUUUUUCUUCACUUUUCAGAAAAUGCUGUUAAAGGUGAUGAGCGCAUUACUCAAGCUGUUGGUCUUUGCAAAAAGUUCGAGGGACAUUUCUCCCACAGCUGGAAGGAGAAGAUGGUCCUGAAAGAAGCACAAAAAGAGCACAACCUCCCAGAGCACUGACAGAAUGCCCUACAAGGUGGGGAUCGAGACAGAAAAUGAUUCAGAGAGUUUUGGAGCAGCAGCGGGCCAUGUCAGCAGACAGAAAGUCAAGACAUUUGGUUCCAUCUUGGCAGGACCUAGAUGUACUUGAGUCUAUAAACCAGGCAUUGCAGCCAAUGCAAGAAUUUACAGAUGCUCUGUCAGGUGAAAGUUAUGCAAGCGUUUCGUAUGUGAAACCUGUACUUCACUUGAUAAACACCUCAGUUCUUGCUGCCAUGGAAGAAGACAGUGAUUUAACAAAGUCCAUAGAGAUGACGAUUACAUGAACACCAAGUAUGACAACCCAGCAACUCAAGAACUUCUGGACAUGACCUGCUUUAUGGACCCCAGAUUAAUCAGCAAUGAUGAGGUGUCAGACAUCAGAGCCAGGGUAAAUGUUAAUAUGACAAUAAUAAGUGAUAAAAUAGUGCACUAUAACUAGAUUUGAUUACAAUAAUUAAUUUAUUUCUCUAUAUUAGGAGUAAAGCCUACACUGAAAAAAGUCUAACAUUGCUGUUGUUCGUUUAAUGUGUAUUUUCUCGUUGAAAUAGCUUAAAAUUAUUAUUUUUUUCAUUUAAAGUAAACAUUUUAGUUUAUAUUUAUGGUUGAAUCCAUUUUUUUACAUUGAUACAAUAUAAAUUGGCAGCGGGACAUUAAACUGAAUUUAUUAAUUUGAUCAGAGCAUUUUUAUUAGAUUAAGCAUGAUUUGCACAUGCGCAUUGUUGAGUUGGAGUUCCCGCUCUCUGAUUCAAAAAAAAAAACCGUCCGUCACAGUUGAACUGUCUGUGAAGAACACAACACACGAUCUGUUGAGCGGCGGCCGUGACGGUACACUUCAACAGACGCCAGACCCCUCCAGCCAGGCUGCGACACAGAACUACGAGCAACAUUGAUACAGAUCAAUGCCGAGUUCUUGCGAAUUACAACAGUUCCCUUGGAGACAAAGUUCUUGGUGCAGUUGGACAAGCACUCCACCAAACUGUUGGAGGUCAUCAGGAGCAAGGGAGGAGUUGUGAAAGAGAAGACCACCAGGACCUUGCAGGUUUUAGAUGAGGAAAAUGAGGUUGAAGAACUGGAGCAGGCAACCAUGGCGAUCUUUAUCACUGGGAAAGAGGAUCCUCUCCAUCCACCAAAAGACAUUAAAAUUGUCAUCGAAGGAACAGAGGUCCUGAACCAGUCGCCCUCGGUUGCAACCGCUUUUGCCAUGGUCUUUGGGCUCAUAUACACACUUAACCUAAAAUAUCUGAAAAGGCUGCAGUUCACCUUUGAAUUUGUGCAAAAGGUCCUGAUGGAGCUUGAUGGAAAAAAAGAUGACCCCAAAAGUCACUAGACUGACCACCCAGCUGUACAGCACAGAGUAGGCAGAGCUGAAUUGCACAGACUUGUUUGAAUUUAUUUUCCAUUUGUGGUUGAAUUUUAUGGUGAUUUACAGCCAAAACUUUGGAUCCUUUUGUAAGAGGUUGCACUUACAAGGCUGCAUUUUCACAGCAGCAUUUACAAAUGUGGCUGCCCAAGUUCGAUGGCUACCAGCCUCAAAGGCCAAAGUAGGCCAAGUGUUAUGGACAACUGGAGAGACUGAUUGCAGUGUUCUCAGCGUAUGCACAGAUUUGUACGAAAGAGUUUAGAUUUUCAGACCAAUGGAGAGGGCCAGGAGCUUGCUAUAUUGCAUAUAAAUUAGUUGUAUUUAAAUGUAGAGCUUACAGCUCUGUAUCAGAAACUCUGACAGUGUCUUAGGAGUUCCACUGUUCACUGUCUGAGGAGCAGUUCCAGGUUUUGUCUCUGGUUUUCAGCUGAAAGAGAAUGUUCAUCAUCAUAUACAUUUGUAUAUAAACAGGUAUACAAUACUGUCUUAACAUUUAAUUGUAUUUUAGGAUGUUUUAUGGUGAAAUGUGUUCUGUCAGGACAAACCUUCCUAAUUUAAUAUUACUACUAAUGUGAUGUCAUCAAGUGAUGAUUUGAUUAUUUUGUAACAAAUUUGUAUUUUUGUGUGAAGCAGACUGUUAAUAUUCAUACAUUUGUAACAGAUGUUCAAUGUCAGUUUAUUGAACAAUAAAUAUAAAUGUGUUCUAAAGAAAAGUGUUAUG